rnacentral:rRNA from 1 species
CAGCUCUUGACAUUCACUGAUUGCCGGCAGAGAUGCCGGAGUUCCAGCAAUGGACAGUGGGACAGGUGCUGCAUGGCUGUCGUCAGCUCGUGUCGUGAGAUGUUGGGUUAAGUCCCGCAACGAGCGCAACCCUCGCCAUUAGUUGCCAUCAUUAAGUUGGGCACUCUAGUGGGACUGCCGGUGAUAAGCCGGAGGAAGGUGGGGAUGACGUCAAGUCGUCAUGGCCCUUACGGGCUGGGCUACACACGUGCUACAAUGGCGGUGACAAUGCGCAGCCACCUAGCAAUAGGGAGCUAAUCGCAAAAAGCCGUCUCAGUUCAGAUUGAGGUCUGCAACUCGACCUCAUGAAGUCGGAAUCGCUAGUAAUCGCGCAUCAGCAUGGCGCGGUGAAUACGUUCCC